rnacentral:rRNA from 1 species
UGCGUAGGUGGUGGGGUAAGUCGGAUGUGAAAGCUCGGAGCUCAACUCCGAAAUGGCAUUGGAAACUACCCUGCUAGAGGAUUGGAGGGGGGACUGGAAUACUUGGUGUAGCAGUGAAAUGCGUAGAUAUCAAGUGGAACACCAGUGGCGAAGGCGAGUCCCUGGACAAUACCUGACACUGAGGCACGAAAGCUAGGGGAGCAAACAGGAUUAGAUACCCUGGUAGUCC